GAUGAACGCUGGCGGCGUGCUUAACACAUGCAAGUCGAACGAAGCACUUUGAUCGAUUCUUCGGAUUGAAAUUUAGUGACUGAGUGGCGGACGGGUGAGUAACGCGUGGGUAACCUGCCCCAGACCGGGGGAUAACAGUCGGAAACGACUGCUAAUACCGCAUAAGCGCACAGUGCCGCAUGGCACGGUGUGAAAAACUCCGGUGGUCUGGGAUGGACCCGCGUCCGAUUAGUUAGUUGGCGGGGUAACGGCCCACCAAGACCGCGAUCGGUAGCCGACCUGAGAGGGUGACCGGCCACAUUGGGACUGAGACACGGCCCAGACUCCUACGGGAGGCAGCAGUGGGGAAUAUUGCACAAUGGAGGAAACUCUGAUGCAGCGACGCCGCGUGAGCGAAGAAGUAUUUCGGUAUGUAAAGCUCUGUCAGCAGGGAAGAUAAUGACGGUACCUGACCAAGAAGCCCCGGCUAACUACGUG
rnacentral:rRNA from 1 species